GGUAGUUCUUACAAGCCAAGGGGAGAUGUUAUAGCAGCCGUCAUAUCACAUGAUGGAAGCAACUACCUCCAAUGCUAAGUGGGUGUUUCUUCCUUCUCCCUCCCCCACGUCUCGAUCCAUUUUCCUUCCUCCAACAUUCGGUCACCCCCGUCAUCACGGCUGGAGGACGCAGUGAGAGGCAGAUGCAUUCUCAUCGGUUGCUGGUCUCCACCGCUUCUGUCCUUCUUUCCCUCCUGGGGGUUGGCCUGCUGACUUCCGGCCGGUUGCACACCAGGCCCAGAGGUGGCCAGCUUGCUCGGAUGCCUCACCUAGCUCCUGCAAUGAUGGGGCAAGGGCCAGCCCCACCAUAAAGCCUGUAUACCCCACCACUCAACAUGGUCUGCUGCUCCAGUUGCACGUGGCCUGAAACACGUGUUAGUUGAAGGAGGCAGAGAAGAGAAGGACUUGGAAGAAGGCGGCUGCUCUCUUCCAUCCCAAAGAUGACUGAAUGCGAGUGUCGCUCUGGGACACAGCGAAGUAAUGACAUCAAGCCUGUGCUGCAGUCCCCGGGGGGCUUUGUGGGCAUCUGCUUUGGAGAAUUUGGGGAAUAGGCGGGCUCUGCUCUUUCUGCAAGUGUGGCAUUGCUGGAGGGCAGAAGAAUGAAAGCCUCCCAGCGGCUACUGUGGGGAGAUAGCUCUGGUUGAAGAGCAGGGACCAAGGGGACAGAAGCCCCUGUUCCAGCCCCAGCCCCUUCUACCGCGGUGAAAGGUUUGACCUCUGGCAGCUUGUUUACUCUCUCUUCCACCCAGGGAGGGACCAAAAUAUUGGGGAAAUAGCAAUUCCGAUGUUGUUGGCUGUUUGAACAAAAAGCAACCCAAUUUUUAUUUAAACACCCUGCAAUCCACAGGGUUACGCAAGAUUUUUUAAAAAAUUUAUUUAUUUAUUUUAUUAUUAUUUUUUUUAAUUGGUGGGUCCGUUAAAAUAGGAAACUGGAUUUGUAUUUCUCUAACAAUGCUGCAGAAGGAAAGAAAUUAGUGAGUUGAAAGUCAAACUGUCGUCAAAACAACUCAUGAAAGCGAUGCCUUUGUCAGCUGGUGACCCUAUGACAGGUCUGGUGGGCAUGACCCUGUCCCCUUCCCAGCCCGGCCAGGCCAGGCCAGGCCAGGCCAUGCAGCUGCUAGACUGUGUACCAGCAGGAAUCUGCGGAAACCAGCAGGCAGGGAUGAAUGUAAAUAGAUCCUUGGGGAGGCAGGAGAGACCUUCAUCACCUUAAAGUCCCAGAAACUAUUCCCACACUGUCUGUCACUCCCACGGCAGGAAGAAUGGGAUUUGUUAUUUUUAAAUCUCUUAAAGAAUUUAAAGGCCAAACUCAACUGGGCUCUGGCAUGGAAAUUUCUACCAGGAUAUAUUUCUCAAAGACUCUUUCUCAUUGCAUGCCCAUUUCAAGGUAGCUGAGUUCAUCAGCCUCUGCUGUGCAGUCUUGAACUCGUCUCAUUUUGGAGGUGUUCUGGAAAGAGUUUGACAUUUAAUGGGGGGUAGCUGUGAUCAGAAGGCUUUAGGUCAGAACCCUGGAGUGUGGAAUUGUUUUUUGGUGACUGUUUUGGAGACAAGGUCUAGUAAAAAUCAUUCAUCUUCUUAAAGGCCCAUCUGUUUGGGGGCAGGAACACUUUUCACCUGCAUUGCACACAAUGAUGUCCCAGGUGGCAUGGCAGUCAUGGGACAAGCUGGCUUACAAAAUGCUGAGACUGGGGAGAGAGAGAGAGAGAGAGAGAACACGAGAUCGAGAGCAAGAGAGAGAUGCACACAGGAUUUGAAGUGGUAGAAAGUGCUCUCUACCACACCGCGUAAACCUCAGCGAGAAUUUCUUCAUCUGACUUUCAAAAAGACUGCGGGAAAUGCUUGCUUGGAGGAAUGCGGUGGAGACGUUCGGCAUCUGGACAUUCCUUCCGCGUGAUGGCACACAUCUGGCUCUUUGGAAUGAGCAGAACAUUUCCCUUCCAGUUUCCCUCCAGAUGUCUGAGGAUGUGAGGCUACAGCCCACGAGGUGAGCCAUUUAUCAAGCUUUACUGACUAAUUAAAAGCCAGAGCUGGGCAGAACCCUCGCGGGAUUCUUUAUCCUUAUCGUGCAUGAAUGCGCAGGGUUUUUCACUCCGACGCGCUCCGCAGGACCCACCUUCCAUCAAGCAGACGGUGGACUUUUUUGCGCCCUGCACUUCAGAUGUACGUGCCCGAGAGGCCCAGACUGAAAUGAGCGAUUGGUGCACGAGUGUAAACGGACAUCCUGGCAGACAGAUGGGUGGACGGUUAACUGGCUUCCAUUGAAUCCAAAUGAAGCUAACACCAUUCAAAUUCCGGCCCAGCUAUGUUGUACCCAGCUCAAGGUUGCUGAAAUUGAAUUCAAAAGCCGAAAACACAUGCUGGCCCGGCUCAAGAGCAGCUGCCGAUUGCAAACACAUGGCUUAGCAAUGCAUAAGAUGCUCUGGGGUGACAUUUGGGGUUCCUGAUUAAGUGGGAUAAUCAAAGAAACAUCAUUCAAAACCCUUGCCCUUGCACACAAGCACACAUCCAGAAUAAUUUUUUUUAAAGAAAGCAUUAAGAAAAAACAAAACAAAACAAAACAACAACAACAAAAAACCACUAAGUAAAAUAAAGAUCUCUGAUGAAAAUACUUAGUGGUCCCAAAGAUGGAAACUAAACUUUGAGUUUGAGUUUCACAGAUGGCAGUGGAAAAUGCCGCCUAAAGCAAGAUGCUGUGCAGUUAGGAGAUUUUGAAGCCUUAGGUACAAUUUCUGAAACAAGGGAGGUUAAGAUCCGUGGCCAGGAAGGAUCCAGUACAGGUAUCCUUAUCUGACAGCAAGAGAAAAAAAAAAUCAUGCUGGAGACAUGUCUUUUUCUUCAUCAGUCAAGAGUGCAUGUGGACAAGAGGCUAAGGCCAAACCAAACUCCUGCACUUGGAAUAUACCCACUGGGCUUCGAAGGGGAAAGGGAGGAGGUGGUCGAAGAUAGCCUGUAGGUCUCCUCCAAAAUCCCAGCUUGGAAAUACUUUGUUACGGCAAGUGUCCAUGGAUUAGGGUCUUGUGGGUGAAAUCGGAACAAAGAAGGUGGUCCUGCCAUGUGGAGGAAAUGAAAAUGUGCUGCGCUGAAAUCCUUAUAAAGACUGCUGGCGCUCUGGCAAUUUCACUUUUUAAGUGCAUGUUAUUAAAAGAACCCCCGGCUGUGAGAGGUAGUGCGGGUGGGCAGAGUGUAACCCGGCUCAGCUCCUGGAGGCCGUGCGCUCAGCCUUGCUGCUAACUCCCUGCAACUUUGGGGAUUCACCCCAUCAGCCUAGUUUCUGUUUCUCCUCAUCUUCUCUAGCAGAUUCGCUUUGUGAGAUGAAUUGCUGGCUGGGGCUCUGCGUCUUUCCCCUCUUCCUUUUUUCUUGUCUGUAACCACAUUCCCACGGAAGAAAUCAAUCCGCAGAUCCUCAUUGACGCUUCCCUGAAGCCCUUUGAAAUGUAUUAGCAGUAGGCGAAGUGUGUGUUUGAGGACGGAUGCAUGGGUUACACUGCUGCCUAUAGAUCGCCACCGGGAGAGAAAACUUGUAGACAGAUGUUUCUCUCUACUUUUCUCUUGUGUAGCUUUUCCUGAGGUUUGGUCUGGUUGGAGCAGAGCUGAGCAUCAGGAUGUUCUGAACUCAGGAGGCAAAGAAAUAAAUGCAAGCAGCAAGGAUUUCUCUUGCUCCCACCUCAUCCUGAGUGCCGGGCGGGCCCUGGUGCUGGUGACUGUUGUCUGAAGCAGCAUUUUUGGAAGUGUGCCCCAUCCCAGAAGGCGCCUGUAAGGUGGCCAGGCUCUGGGCUGUACCUGGGUCAUUUCUCAGAGUCACUGUGCCGGUUGGUGGGUCCUGCAGCAGAGGGAAUAGCUGGACAGCAUGUAACUAAGAAUUCUCCAAAUAGACCCUCCAAAACUCUUCCUUUUUGGAAACAUACAUAUAAACUUAUGUGCGUGUGAAGAGUGCAUUUAUACUCUUGCAAGCUAUUAGGAAGGUUGGAAAAGGCCCUCCACCAGGUUAGCAGCCAACAUUGCCCAGAUUUGGAGAAGGAAUGUGGGUGCAGGUUGGGCCCCUGGGGCCAUUCUCAAUCUUGGUUGAUUUCCCGGUGGAAUCUCAACCACUUUUUUUCAUUAGCAUCUCCCUUAGGAGAAAAAUUAGGUUAAAUUAAAAUUCUCCCUAUUGAGGGAGAUGAAAUAUUGAGAAGUAAGCUUUUGAUGGUAGCAUUGAGCUUUGCAGGGCUACAAACAAUUAUGGUAUCUGUGUUCUUUGGCUCCAAAGAAUUAAUUUGUAUCUCCAUAGAGGUGGUGUCUCCUCUCUUGAGAAUUCAUGUCUGGAGGUCCAAGCAAUGGGUUCCAACAAAUUUACCUCGUUUAGAGGGGUUAUACCUGGUGUCUUCUAUUUCUUUUGCUGGGAAAGGUGGGAGUAGGGUAUUGGAGGGAUGGGAAAAAGAGAGGAUGUGCCCAUUGUUGCCAUGGCUUCCAAGCAAAUUAGGAACGAAUUUCCUGGUUCCCGAUAGAGAUAACAGAGAACAAGAAUUAUUCCUGCAUGGAGGGGAUAUGGAAUAGGUUUUAAGAGGAAGGGUUCAAAUUUUAGUUCUACCUAUUGUUGGCUGCCUAACCUUAGGCAAAUUACUUAACCUCCUGGACUUCACUUUCUCAAUCUGUACAUUGGGGAUAAUAUGACCUCAUUGGGUUUUUGUGAAUAUUUAAUGAUAAAAUACAUGAGAUGCGUUAAGGAUAGUGCCUGGGAUCUAGUUAGCUUCUACUGGAGUCCCCAUUUAUUCAUUUUUUUGUAAUUAUUUUUUAACCUGAUUACCUAAUUUCAGGCAUGUCAAGUAGUAAUAAGUAAGUGUUCCUAAGUAACAAUUUUAUAUUUUAGCUUAUUUGGGUGGCGGUGCUGAUUUCUCCUUUAAGGAAUGGUUGAUAGCAGGAAUUCUUGGUUCCUGCCAUUAGUUAUAUUGGAGAGUUAGUUAUAUUGGGGUAACUUUUCUACAAACUCCCAGUUAGGUCAUUUUGUCAGCCAUGAAGUUAUUAGGAACCCAAGUUUCAAAUCUUGGCUCUAUUGCUAAAAACCUGUGCCUCAGUUUCCUCUUCAGUGAAGUGGGAACAAUCAAGCCUCACUCACAACAUUGUGAUUUGAUGAGGUAAUGCAUGUUAGAACAUUCUGAUUUCCUUUCUAGCCCCGAUAGGGACUUGGAUUAUCUAUCAAGCAUCAAUUACCACCACCCUUUCUCUUCUAACAAAACAUGUUAACAAGUGUGUCUAUCUAGUCCCAUUAGAAAACAAGCAGGGGCAGUCCACGUGUCUGCAGUGGCACUGGCCUCACCCCCAAUGAGUAGUCCAAGCUGGUUGGCCCACGGCGCUCCCCUGGGACGCAUGUAGGGAGGCGUGCUGUCUCCUGCCAGAUGCGAACAAAAACACACAAAGUUUGCUCUUCUUUUAACUCUCUGAUGAUUUAUCUCUUAAGUAGAAUUUGGACUUCUGGCUUUGGUCCUCUUUCUGAGGGCCUGAAGAUAUAACCCCAGCUGGUUUAUAUGCUGAAGGUAUAACCCUAGCUGGUUUAUACCAUCCCGUGUGCUCGUGACUCCCACAUAUGUCUCUCCAGGCUGGAGAUCUGUCCUCUGCCCCUACUCCACCCCGGGAGUCACUUCUCAGUCUCUAUCUGAAAAAUGAAACCGUUGUCUUCCCCAGAUCUCCUCUCUUCCUGUAUUUUCACCCUGGCUAAUGGAGCUCAUCACCAAAGUCAGCUGACCCACUAUAGGGUAUGUCCAUGGGACAGAUGCUGCAGAAGACUCUCCCACCUCUGGUAACUCGUCUCUACUGAGUGGGGGUGGGGGGUGAACAACGGAGGUGUUCAGACUAAAAUGCUGAACGUUGAUCUUUCCUUAUAUGUAAGAAUGGUGGUUCCUGGAGAACAAGUCUUCUUCGCUUGGGGAUCUUUCUGGAUUGACAGAAAAAGGAUGGAGUGAAGGAAGGCCACUUUGUCAUCAGUGUAUGGGGUAUUUGGCUUCCUUGAGUGACCUCUGCCCUCAAUGUCCAGAAAGAGGAAAGUUCGGGAACCAGUCCUAUUUUGGCUGUUCCCGCGAGUUUACUUGGAUUAAGGACAGUUAGCAGAUGGAAAUGGUGGAUUUCCAGGAGAGUUCCUGUCCCCAUGGCCUCAUCUGCAGGUCCCCUGGUGGAGCCAUUUCUAAUGGCUUCUGGUGGCACAGAGUUUCCCAGGGUGGCGCUAUGCCUUGGUGCCUUUAUACCAGUUGGUGUCUCUGCUGAAAAUGUUUACUCAUUUGUUCAUCCAUCAACUAGAAAUGGAAAGGUGCCUCAGUGGUCCCAGUCCUAGUUAGAUACCUGAAAGAACUGAAAGAGAGACUCAAACAGAUAUUUACACACCCGUGUUCCUAGCAACAUUAUUCACAACAGUUAAAACAUGGAAGUGACCCAAGUGUCCACAGAUGGAAUGAAUGGAUUAACAGAAUGGGGGAUAUACACCCAAUGGGAAGUUCUUCAGCCUUAAAAAAGAAUGAAAAUUUGAUACACACCAACAUGGAUGAACCUGAAAACAUUACGCUGAAAAGAAGCCAGAUAUGAAAGGAAAAAUAUUGUAUGACUCCACUUACAGGGAAUAUAUAUAGAAUCCGCAAAUUCAGAGAGACAGAAAAUGUGGCGAGGUGGCCAGGGGCUGGCGGAGGGGAGAAUGAAGAGGGAGCUCUUGCAUAAUGGGUACAGAGUUUCUGUUUGGGAUGAUGAAAAGUUUCGAAAACAGUGGUGAUGAUUGCCCAAUACUGUGAAUAUAAUUAAUGCCACUGAAUAGAACACUCAAAAAUGGUUAAAAAGGCAAAUUUGUUAUAUGCAUUUCACCACGACAAGAAAAUAUGUAAAUAGAGAAAUGGCAUUUACCAUGAUGGUUCUUAGAGUAUUUGUAGACCUAUGUGAAUGUCAAGGGCGGGAGACUUGCUUUAUUUAACUGUGUAUCCUCUGAGUCCAGCCAGCAAGAACAAAUGAGAAGCUUGAGACUGGGUCUUAAAAAGCUCAAGAGAGGAGAGGCAGCGACAUCUAAGUACAUCUAAUCUUUUUAUUUUAUUAUUCUGGAACUUAGGUACAGUAUUGAUGGGGUCCCCUUUUUGCUCUAAAAUUGUUCCUUUCUGGGGUGGAAGGGGUGGAAAGAAGGGUUGACUAGGGCUCAGUGAAGUGUCCUCUGGUGACAAUCUUGGGUGAACCUGGAGGCUACAGGGCAUGGUUUAUUGAGGGCACCUGUGGGGGCUGGGCUUGGAAAGCCAAGGGAAGAGGGGUUGGAGAUGCCUUGAUUCUCAACUCAGAGCUUUGAGCUGCAGACGGGAAGGUUCCUGAGCAGGGGAUUGCCCCAGGAGAGUGUGGUUUGAGAGAGGUGGCCUCUGGGGACCAGACACACUCUUCCAAGCAGCCUCCAGCAGCCACACGUGGCCUGGUGGCUUCAGUGUGUGUCUAGGCUCUGCCCGUUGAAAGGUUGUGAUUAUGUUGAUCAGAACUAUCUUUUCCCUGUGGGGGGGAAGGAUGUUUCUUCUUUUGCUUAUUCUUUUUUUUUUUUUUUUCUAAAAAACAAAACAAAAACAAAAACAAGGAAGUCCUCCUCCCCAUGUCCUUCAAAGCGCUGUGGCAUCUUCAGAUCUGGGUACUUGAAAGCUAAAGCUGGUCAUAAUUUCCGACGGACAUAAUGUGCAUUUGAAAUUCUUUUCCACAUCAAAUUAAAUCUGUCUUGGACUGAUUUCCUGGAAGUGUUUUUCAUUAGAAUAAUAGUCCUCAGCUGAGAGAUCAGAUACCACAGAAGGGGAAGCAGGAACGGAACCAUCAAGUGCCUCCUUGAGGAAGACAUCCCGCCAUUAUGUCUGAGGGGCUACUUGGAGGAGACCAUCCCUUCUCUAGGCCUGCCCCCAGGGAAGAGGUGCUAGGUCUGGUGAACCUCCACCUAUUUUAGUGAUAAAAUCUUUUUUUUUUUUUUUUUCAUUCAAAAUAAAAAGAAAAAAAGAAACUAGUUUCCACCAGGAAAUCAUCCACCUACCCAUCCACCCAACCCAAAUCUAUCGCCUACCGACUGGCUGGGUAUCCCUCUGAGAUGCCAGGAAUAUAAUGGUUAGUAAGACAAAGUCCUUGAUAAAAAGAGGAUAGCUCAGAGGAGGAAACCUCAGGGAUCAAGACAAAGCUCCAGUAGUAUUUGAUGACUUUUUUUUUUUCUGGUCUUAAAUAGGUCCUUCUGUGUAAGGCACAUAGGCAUGCUCUGCCUUACCUACAGAGGGUUCCAGAAGGACUAAUGGAGGAAAUCCUUCUGAAAUUCUUUUCUCCUCCUCCUCUCUGAAACAUGACUUGUUUACUGCAGGCUGUUAACGGCCUUGAGAGCGUCUUUAAUCCUUAGCCAGGGUCUUUAAAUAUAAUACAUCAAUAACAGGUAAUUAUUUGCUUUGAACUUUCUGCUCCUUUCCCCCAUACCCUGCGGGGUGAGCUUGGAACUUUUAAGCACUGUAACAGAUUCUUCCUAUCAAAGUGUCAAAACUCAUAAGGCAUAUGUCAAAGAAUUCGUUUGCUUACUUUCAUCUGUCUUCCCUCCUCCCUCCUUUUACUUCUAAGUCUCACCACAGCUUUGCGGAUUCUUGUGCUGAGUGCCCGUUUGCAGCCUCGUGGCUUUUCUCUAAGCCCGGACCACCUCAGACCCUGAAGAAUUUGCCCCCAUGCACCCAGCCUUGUUGCAUUUAAAAGUCUCAGGCGGUUGAGUUUGUUACUCCUGGCCUGUCACGCUAUUCCUGUUUUGAACGUGUCCAGGAAAAUCCUGUCAAAUUCAAAACUUCCUUUUGCCCCAAACCGAUCUUUGAUCUGAGGGGCCUGGACACGACGGACUCUGAGCAGCUUGCUCUGGGCUCCAUGGGGCCCAGGAGCUCUUUUGCAAGCCUUCUGAGGAAACAAAAAAUGGUUUAUUUUUUCUGUCAGCUGGGGUUGAUGAUGGAUGGCCUGGUGGUUCGAUCUUGUGAGCUCCUGGACCAGCCCUGUCCUGAAGACAGCUUCCUCACCAGGGAGUUCCUCCCAUCUUCUUGAGCACUGUCUGUGGGCUGUGGAUCUGUCUGCUCUGUGGAAGCCACAGACACAGCUUCCCAUGGUUUUUUUCUAGCAGGUUCCAGUAGCCAACUGACGGCUCUAACCUUAUUGCUAUAUCAUUGUGUUCAGUGGUGCCAGUUUGGUCCUCUGUUUAAAUAAAAUCAUUAUUGCCCACCCAAGACUCUCUUGUAUGUAUGAAAGGGUUUUCCAGGAACACCUGGGUGGCUCAGUGGGUUAAAGCCUCUGCCUUCAACUCAGGUCAUGAUCCCAGGGUC